rnacentral:rRNA from 1 species
UACAGAGGUCCCAAGCGUUGUUCGGAUUCACUGGGCGUAAAGGGUGCGUAGGUGGUGAGGUAAGUCCGAUGUGAAAGCUCCGAGCUCAACUCGGAAAUUGCAUUAGAAACUACCUUGCUAGAGGGUUGGAGGGGGGACUGGAAUUCUCGGUGUAGCAGUGAAAUGCGUAGAUAUCGAGAGGAGCACCAGUGGCGAAGGCGGCAUCCUGGACCAACACUGACACUGAUGAGCGAAAGCCAGGGGAGCAAACGGG